UUUGUUUGUUUGUUUGUUCAUUUCUUUUCUCAGUUCCUCGAGGUAUUUGGGAUCAUGAGUAACUUGUAGCUGCAUAAAACAUGCUGCGUUACAAUAUGGAUAAUUGGUAGCACUGAAUUUCAGAGGCUGCCUAAUAGAUGUGGAAGGGGUGGAAAUCUUUGGAGUGGUCUGUGUAAUCUCAGCAGACAGCAGCACAGAAUCACUUCCAGCAGUCCUUUGCCAGAGCAGUGCUGUGUGUUUUAGAGGCAGGGUAUCUGCAUGAGGGUCACAGCUGACAGUUUAGACAAGGAGCCCGAUCUUUGUUGACCUGGACUUUUGUAAUGAUCCAUGAGAGCUGUGUGAGCCUGUUUCAUGCCCAUACUGCUGUAAAUAGCAGGAUGAAAGGCACACACCAGAAAUUCUCUGUCUUUCCACUGGCAGCAUUCUGUCUGUUUUAUGGAGGUACAUGAUUGCAAAGCAGUGGAAAAAUUGACUUUGCUGCACAUCAUUAUAAAUGUCUCCUGUCUCUGCCCAGGUCAUAGAAGGGGAGAGAAGGAGAGGACUUUAAAUUUGGAUUUUUUUGUCCCUCAAAAAGCCUAAAAGAUCAAUGUUUUUUACUGUUUAUAUUUAGCCCAAGAAAACUUCUCACACUCUUGUUGUUUAUUUUAAAAAUCUUUGGAUUUUCAGUACCAAUCAGUAGAGAAAUUGCAGCUAUAUUUAAUAAAUGUUUUAUUGUAGUUUGUUCCUAUGUGGAAGCUGAAGGUCAUGUUUCAAGAUGAUUUUUGUCUGAACUUCUGCCUGGUAUAAACAUGGGUUCAUUUGUUAAAAUAGUGUUCAGUAUAUUGAAGAAUUCAAUUUGUACUCCUUUGCAUGUCUCUUAAUUAAUAUCUAGCCAAAAUGUUUGUAUUUUGUUACUUGCUACAUGGAGGUGUCUGGCAGGGAGUUUCAAGAAGGCAAUAAUGACUGGAUUCAUGUGUUUAAGACCUGAUGUCUUGGUGGCUUCUGUGUAGUGAUUUGGUAGUAUUGAAUUUUAUACUAGAGACUUUAUUUUUGGUGGUUCUGAACUCCCAUUGCAAAGGUGGGGAUUGACAAUUAAUAUCUUGUAGUCCUGUCUUCAGUGGAAUUUUGCAUGCUGAAGGCACUCCCUUUGAUAUUCCUGGGGUUGAGCUGGGAUUGCUGGGCCCACCUGAGAAGUAGGCUGCUUCUCCUUCCUUAUUUAAAAAAAAAAAAAACAUGGUAGAAGAAAAAGUGUGUAUUAUGAUGACUUCAGGAAAAAAUAUAUAAUAUCUCAAAUAACCUGUUUAACCUCUCAAAUAAACUACUGUUUAUAUUCCCCAAACCCUAGGUGCAAACUAGCAGUGGGAUGCAGGCACUCCUUGGAUCUCCUCCUGCAGAGGGUUGGGUGCUGGCUGGCUGAACCCCUCUGCCCUGGCUUUGCAGUAAUGCUCCUGGACAUCAGCUUCAUGCUCUGUGUGUGUCAGGAAUGAUCCAGGGAUUUGGUUUGUUCUUGUGGCAGAAAGCAUUCUUGAGAGGCUCCUCACCGCAUAGGCCCUCACACUUAUGUUUUGACAGGAUCUCUUCUCACACUGUCAUGUUCUCAAAGUCUCUCUUGCUUGAAGACUCUUAUGUAAGGAGUAUGGAACUGAAAUAAAUGCUGAGGGCUAAACAGGUCCUGACUUGAUCAGUACACAAACACAUUGUCUCGCUUGUCUGAGAAUGGCCUUUUUUGCUUCCUGGCUAAAUAAAUGAUGUGUCUUCCUCCAAUGGGGAUAUAGGGCUGAGUAUGUCCACACCUUUUGUAAGCAUACUGUCUGGCAGUGCUGGCUGGCAGCAAGAAAAGGCCCUUGGCACAUCAUCUUUGAUGGUGAAGUGUCCUGGAUACAGAGAAGCAGGAAGAGGGAUUAUUUUGCAAAGGUACAAGCUACUCUGAUCCUCUUGGGGCUGGGUGACUUCCCACCACACUUUCCUUGGGGAUGUGCUGAAAUGCCAUAGACUAGCCCACAUGCUUCUGCUUGAAAAUUUAAACCUCCAGGCAUGAAUAACUUACUGGAAUUAAUCUUCAACUGUUGUCGUCCAGUAUUGAAAUAUUAAUGUGGCUGAUCAGAGUGAGGCAGUGCAACCAUGGUGGUCUUGCAAAAUAGCGCAUCACACAAGUGACAUUCCCUAACGUGAGUCAAUGUUUGUUCUUCUGUAAAAGACAUUCUAACAUUUUUCUUCUAACUGCCAGGCUAAAUGGCUUGUGCAGGCCCAACCUCUGCACAGAAAACAGCACAUCUGUGGUGAACAGCAAACAUCAAGAAGCAGCAUUUGAAGGGGGAAGGAGUAGUAAUGGAAGUGCAAGAAGGUUCCCUGGAGGUGAUGAAACUUCUGAGAUGCUGCAAGUUUAGCAAGACCUGUCCUUUCCUUUGUCAGCCAUGCAGUCAGUGUAGCACUGGGAAAGAAACAUCACCAGGAUUUGAAUGAAGUGAUCCUUCCAGGGAACAAAUGACCUGGUAGUUCUCAGAGUGGCAGGCAUCUACACUGAAGCAUUCUGAAUUUCAUUGGGCAUGGUGCCUGUGACUGAUUACAAAAUCUGCUGCUGAAGCAACUUCUAGAGGUGGUAGAAGACCUGCGGUUGUGGAUCCUUUGCACAUAUAAAUGUUAUUGUGUGUGUCUGUUUGACCAUGGUAGGAUAUUUAAUGUAUCAUAGAAACAAGUUUUGUAUCUCCAGUUUCAGUGUCCCUCUCAUCAUAGAGCCUUCCUUUCAAACAUAUUGUCCUUUGUUUGAGCUUUUAAAAAUAGAAGAAAAAAAACCCCCAAACCUUGAAAAAUUGUAACACUCUAUGAAAAAUAUACACUAUUGUCAUGUUCUGGGGAAAAGGGGAACUUUACUGUGUGCGCUGUUAUUGUAAGUGAAAUGUGGUGUACAGCAUGCUAAGUAGCUGCUCAGUCAAAUGUCAGUGUGAAUUCAGAAAUCCUCAGAAGAGGAAAGAAAUAAAUAUUUUUAUUUUCUCUAAAA